GAUGAAGAACGCAGCGAAAUGCGAUAAGUAAUGUGAAUUGCAGAAUUCAGUGAAUCAUCGAAUCUUUGAACGCACCUUGCGCUCCUUGGUAUUCCGAGGGGCAUGCCUGUUCGAGCGUCAUUAUAACCCCUCAAGCUCAGCUUGGUGUUGGGGCCUGCUGCACUGGCAGCCCUUAAAAUCAGUGGCGGCGCCAUCUGGCUCUAAGCGUAGUAAUUCUUCUCGCUAUGGAGUCCUGGUGGAUGCUUGCCAUCAACCCCCAAUUUUUCUAUGGUUGACCUCGGAUCAGGUAGGGAUACCCGCUGAACUUAAGCAUAUCAAUAAGCGGAGGA
rnacentral:misc_RNA from 1 species